UACGUAGGGGGCUAGCGUUGUCCGGAAUCAUUGGGCGUAAAGAGCGUGUAGGCGGUCCGGUAAGUCCGCUGUAAAAGUCAAAGGCUCAACCUUUGAAUGUCAGUGGAUACUGCCGGGCUAGAGUCCGGAAGAGGCGAGUGGAACUCCUGGUGUAGCGGUGGAAUGCGCAGAUAUCAGGAAGAACACCAACGGCGAAGGCAGCUCGCUAGGACGGUACUGACGCUGAGACACGAAAGCGUGGGGAGCGAACAGG
rnacentral:rRNA from 1 species